ACGCUGGCGGCGUGCUUAACACAUGCAAGUCGAGCGAUGAAGCUCUUCGGAAGUGGAUUAGCGGCGGACGGGUGAGUAACACGUGGGUAACCUGCCUCAUAGAGGGGAAUAGCCUUUCGAAAGGAAGAUUAAUACCGCAUAAGAUUGUAGUACCGCAUGGUACAGCAAUUAAAGGAGUAAUCCGCUAUGAGAUGGACCCGCGUCGCAUUAGCUAGUUGGUGAGGUAACGGCUCACCAAGGCGACGAUGCGUAGCCGACCUGAGAGGGUGAUCGGCCACAUUGGGACUGAGACACGGCCCAGACUCCUACGGGAGGCAGCAGUGGGGAAUAUUGCACAAUGGGGGAAACCCUGAUGCAGCAACGUCGCGUGAGUGAUGACGGUCUUCGGAUUGUAAAGCUCUGUCUUUAGGGACGAUAAUGACGGUACCUAAGGAGGAAGCCACGGCUAACUACGUGCCAGCCGCUGC
rnacentral:rRNA from 1 species